AUGAGUUGCUUGCUCGGAUCUUCCGUGGAGUUCUCCCGGCACACACACGGAGCACGGUGGUUGCGAUGGCUCUCCUUGCGCCGUACGGAGGAACGGAGCUGUCAAACUAAACUAAACCAAAGAGAAGAGCAGGGCAAAGCAAGAGGCAGCCAGCGAGUCGUCUUGAAGCAACGGAUUCCAUCCAUCGAUCGCCACCGGAGAGCCAGCAACAGAGCAAUCGACCGAGCGAGCGCGAGGAUGUGCUGCCUGGUGAAGUGCGGCAAGUCCACGUCGCCUCCGUCCACCGGCAGAUCCCCGAGGGCCAGCACUGCGCCUGCCGCGACUGGCCGGGCGUCUCCGCCGGCGGCGACAAGGCCGCCGGCUCCACCUCCGGCGCCGUCGAGGAGUCCUCCACCUGCGCUAUCCUGUGAUGUAAGGUACGGGCCGGGCCGUGGUCGGCGAAUCAGCAUCGGCCGUUCGUUGACUUCCUCGCCGAUCCAAAGCCGUGGUGCAUCGCCUACACUCGUGUCAGUGUGCGGCAUCUCGUUGUAA
rnacentral:rRNA from 1 species